GACAUGGCGAGAGGCGCGCUACGGCGUGUGCAACGUGGCAGCCUACACGCUCUCGCCGGUGUUUUGAAGACGCAUCAUCAGUGGAACGCGGCAGUCGCCGACGGUGCUGAGUGCUGACGCGCGCCCCGUUGAAUACUCGUUGUUGAGGUUCACUGAUACAAGAACCUGAAUACAAGCUUCGCUCGCUACUUCACGACCUUUGCCUCAGAAUCAUUAUCUGCUACUUUUAAAAGAUGCCCGAAAAGCAAACGCCAACCGAUAAGGAUAUUGUGGGAAAACGUACUGGUCUAACUUGCCUAUCUUAUCGUGAACUCCCACCCGUUGAGGGUGAGUUUCCUGAGGGUGCUGGGCGAGUGGCGCUCUGUUGUGUCAAGAUCACGACCAAAGGUGACCCACGCGCCUUUAUCAAGUAUCCGUACACGUUAGAUGAUGGCUGCAUAUGUUGUUGUGAGUGCUGCGCUGCUUAAGAAAUUUGGGCGGGGAGAGCACUUAUACAACUAUAGAAAAAUCAAGUGCGUUCGGGGCUCUAGUGCGUUUCCACUUCAGAGCUUCUUUCUUCGAACACCGGCGCUACUGCUGCCGACGAGCCGGACGGUUUCCUCUGGAACGCGAAGCUUGAGCGGACUCCUCGAGGACUGCAGUGUCGUGGACUGGAAGUGAUGAUGUGCUCGUAUAGGAGUGGUAUCCAACGCAGCGAAGUUCUUCGUUCAGCGGCGUCGCUCUAGCCUCAUGCUAUGCGGUGCGAUUGUGACACUGCUUGACUGUGCCCCGCGCCAAGCGCUGAAGAUUGCGUUCCCGCUCUGCACAGUUGGGGGCAGGACACCUGCACGAACUUGUUUCGCCCUCACCGAAGGUCGUUUGCGUACUGGAAAUGGAAAGUAAAGGAUAGAUAGUGUCUGUAUAC